CCCAGAUAUCCAAGCAGGACAACAAAGUAACGUUUUAUGUAACGACCGAUCUUUUAACAGCAAAGGCGACUGAAACCAAAUAUCUACGUCGAGACAAUGGAGUGUUUACAAGUUGGCAUUAGACCACAUCGUACUAAACUGUACAUGCGCUCUCAGAACAUUGCUUUCAUUCAACUUUACCGAAGCAGUGGAAGCAGUGCAAGCUGUCCGGAGACACAGAAAGAAACGUGUCCAGAGAGCUUUCAGUUCGGUCCUGCAUUUCUUUUUCGCAGUCUCCAGAAGAACAGGUAACACCACAUACUCAUACACACCAUCACAAGAGAGCGACCGUUCAAAAUCAAGGAUGGCGCAGCCUAUACAGGACCACGACUCGCCCGACACGCCCUUCAGUUGGACCGUCUUCAUAACGGUGGCAGCGGUGUUAGUCUUGCUGAUCCGUACCGUGGAUUUACGCCAGGCCUUUACAAUAGCCGUGGUGGCGGGUUUCGUGGUCUUUGUAUUCGCUUACAUCUUACUGUUAGCACGGGGUGCCUAAUGUGGUGAAUAGAUGACUAAAGGUAAGGGCACAACCCGCCGUACGUGCAAUCUGUCAGGACGUUUUUUUUUUAGGCCACGUCCGCCAUGUUUUCUGAAAACGUUCAGGCUGUACCGGCAGGGCAGGCGCGUCGCCCGUACUGAUACAUACUGGGGACGAGUCCAAAGCCUGAUGGCACACAAAAUUUUGCAUGCAUGUAAAGUUCUACGGCGUGUCUGCGUGCUCCAAAAUCCGUCGGCAAACAUGUUUCGCCGUGUGGCUACUAGUGUUAUGUGCUCGAAUGAGCAUAGUACAGCAUGUCCUUGCUUUUUAUAGGCCAAGUGCAUAGUGCCCUGACCAGGUGCAAGGUGCCCUAGGUAGCUUAACCAAUCACAGUUCAGCAAAAUGAGGUAGUAUAGUCUGCUCUAGGUCUAGGCGCACUGCAUGACCUCACUUGACCUUUGUACCCGAACUAUAUUAGACCUUGGGCUUCGCGGAUGAAUACAGUGCUGUGUGUCGAAGUCUCUUUUGUGUGUCUUUGAAGGGGAAGUUCCUUCAGUUUCGAUAACGAAUCUUGAUAGUUUCGCUCCCCUCAUUUUUACCGCGCCUUUUACCUCAAACUUCGGACCAGGUAACACCGUCAGACAGCUCCACACUUGAAAGAGAGAUAAUUUGGAACAGUAGCUACUGAAAGGCAUAUAAGAAACUUUCAGGUAACAUUUUUAAUGUUGUCAUUCUUUUACCGGGCUCCGUCUUUAGUGUACCGUAUCAAAAAUUGAAUCAUUUUAUGUGGCACAUUUGUUUAUCUGCAAUUCCGUGUUUCAAAGCUAUAGCCUCUUUUGUCUUGUAUGGCUAACAUAUUGUACUCUCUCCAUCAUUUCAUCCUGUGUACGUAGUCGAGACACUGAACUUUCUCCCCAAAUAUUUGCUAUGGCAGUAUAUACGUAGUUGUUGUUUAUGGCAUGGGGGUCGACAAAAGCUUCUAGGUUAGGUUUACUACCCAAUCCAAGCACGUCAGUGCUGUAAAGCGUAAGGGUUAUCAAGAAAUAUCGUCAACCACAUAGGGAGAUCGAUGAUGUUGAAGGAGCGAAAUGCUCUUUCCCCCAAGAUGUGGAAAGUUCAAAAUGUCAGCGUAAGUUAGCUUUACCUGUAUGCGUGGCUACGGUUUUCAUAGCGUUCAUGAAUAUGCAGCUAUCACCUUUCUCGGCCACAGUAACUUUUAUUUACAUUGUAAUAUAUCAGCAAUGGUAGUGAAUCAGUGAAAGCCUAUUGAAAUUAAGCAUGUGACAGAUGGUGAAAAACAUUGUGCUGUUAAGAUGGCGAGGUAUGAAAUUUCUUUUGUGUCCCGAGGCUGUAGUGGUAGACAAACAUAUCUCACGGUUGCAACUCCACGCAGUUGUCUAGUUUUUAUUCAGAUCUAGACCUCUGGUAAAAGUACCUUUUUUUUUCAAUAACCUGAAAAUAAAUCUUAGAAAUUCUUCUGCACAUGAGAAACAUGAAAAAAAAACAAGGGGUUGUUCAGGUCAAACGCCGGGAACAGCGGACUCAACAAACUACAACUUUGACCUCAGUUUUUCCUGUAUCCACCCGCAUAGGGCAGGCAGGACCCAACAACUCACAUCUGUUCAAUCUAAAUUGCUGAGCUGAAGAAAGUUUGACCAAAAUUGGAAAGCGUAGACAUUACCUGUUCCUUCCAACCCCCAGACCAGAGUAUCCAGAUAGGGCCGAAAUUUUCAAGGAAAAGAAGGCAUGGUUUUCAAGGGAUUUAAGCUGCCAUUUUGAGCCCUCCACUGCGCAACUCAACUGUGACGUCUGACCUGUGCGCUUUAUACAUAUCUAUAGUUGUAAGCUCGUAGGAUCUACAUCAUAAUUCCGACUUAGUCUUUGUAGGAUGGGCGCCUUCCUCCUGGCCAUUAUUGGAUUGAUCGUAUGUGUCGGCGUAGCCUGGGGUGCACUCGCAGCGUUCCGAGUCUGGGAUCUGCGCCUGACCUUUAAAUUUCUCGGAAUCGUGGUUGGUGUGAUGUACUUGAUUAUCUUCUUUCUCAUUGUCAUCAUGACCGGGACCGGAAGGGAACAGAAAGGUGACUAGAACUCCCCUUUACAACACUGUGUCAACCUUCAAGAAGCUGGCGGCGACUGCAACUACUGGGCUACUACAACGCCAACGAAGGAAAAGUAGAGUAUAUAUCCUCACAAACUUUCGUCAACGAAUGUAUGCGGAACACAAAAUUAACGCCUGACUCAGUAACCGACAUCGACGGACGAGGCAAGACAGCGCCAAGGAUCUAUAUGUAGGAUACAGUGUGCGGCGUAGUUUAUUCAAAUAUUCAAGAUUGCUUGAAGUGAUUAUAAUAUGUAAUAGUGUCCUACUACUGCGCCAGGGAAAAUUCAAUCCAUGUUUUCUAGCUGUGCUCUUUUUUUGAAUAGACAAAGAGAGAAAUAGAGACAAAUAGAGCAACGACAAAAAAAGAAUAUGCAUGUAAAACAUAAUGAAUCCUUUAACCCUGUCAAAUGUUAUCACAACUACUUCUGUCGCCUAACAUGUAUGUCCGUCUUGUAUUGUUGACACUAGGUGUAUUUCCGACGGUGGCGUUUUAUGAAUUUUUCUAGUUGUAUUUCUGAUAUUUGUGUCUACAAAAAUUACGAUAGCGAGUGUUGGCCUGAUCUACUUGUAGGUUUAUCAUGUUCUACGUGGCAGGGAAUCCCUGCUUGGUUUCAUUGACGUAGCGAGCGAGUUUCACUUCCUCAUUUUUGACUGCCUAUUGUUACCGGAGAACCAUCAUGCCUAAAUGCGUCUUACAGGUUGCAUUGAGAUACGUAUUUGUAAAUUAGUAACCUGUAAAAUUUAAGGUAAUGUGUACUUUAUUUGCACAUGUUUAUUUGAGAGAGAGAGUAGGAGUAAGAGAGAGAGAGAGAGAGAGAGAGAGAGAGAGAGAGAGAGAGAGAGAGAGAGAGAGAGAGAGAGAGAGAGAGAAAUAGAGAGAAGUAGAGAAAGAUAGAGAGCGUGGGCAAAUUACAUUCAUGUAUGUUAUUCUGUCUGUAUUGUGUUGUUGACAACUAACACUAAGUGUAUUUCCGAAUAUGACGUUUUAUGACUUCUUGUAAAUGUAGCUAGUGCUAUUAUAUGUUAAUCGGAAUAAAGCAGUUUUUGCUAUUG